GGGGGUUGCGGCGGCCAUUUUGGGCCACGUGGUUGGUGCGGAGGAGGGGGAAAGAAGGGCGCAGUGCGGGUCUGGGCUUUGCAGGUAGUUAGUGCGACUGUGUGCGUGCGGGAGCAAGAGAGUACACUCGUCGGAGACUGCAAGGAGUUGGGACACCCUGGGAAGCAGCAAACCAGAGCACCAAGCAGGGCCCGCUCAGUUCAUCAUACCCAGUCAGCAUUGGGAUGAAGGAGGACGGCACUGUCAUGAUGAGAACACUGUGAAGGAGGAUGGCACUGUCAUGAUGAGAACACUGUGUCCUUAGAAGAUGAAGCCUUCAACACUGAACCUUAAAACCAAGCCAUCCAGCUCCUGCCAGGUCCUUGUGGUUGCCUGUGGCUCCAUGGAACUGCCACAUCAAGUAAUGAACCUCAAGGUGAACCAAACCAGGAUACCACACACAUCACACCAGCCCUCCUUUGGGAAAUGCAGACCUGUCCCAGGAGUUUCAGGCAUCCUGUGUUCAUCCUGCAUCGCCUCGUUGAAGAAGUAAAACUACCUGCUGCUGAGAACUCUGAAAAGGAGCUGCAAACGUCGAGGUUCAGAGGAACCAGGAAUCCUGGCCUGCCAUCCGUACAGCCUGCUGACCUCCAGGUGGAUGUGUGAAGCAAGGAGCUGUGCCCUGGAAGCCCCAGAUGAGUGUGUGGGUCAUGUGCUGCAAGCUCCCAGGUAACCCUGCACAGCUCACAAGCACAGGCUGUGAGCCCUGUGGCACUGAGUGUCCAUUCUUGCCAGUACAGGUAACAAACUGGUCUCUUUCAGUGCUGAAAUACCGCUUCAGAUGCUUAACGUGUUCUGAACUGUUUGUUUUUCAAGGUAAGGAAGAAUGAGACCCUUACGCUUUCUUUGUCUGGAAAUAUAUGUAUGCAUAUAAUUAUAAAAAAUAGCCCUGGUCAUUCACACAAACAGAAUAAUUGAAACAGCAUUAAUAGCUAUUAGCUCAGCGAUGAGAAGGCCCUGUUUAGUGAGGCUAAAGGAUGCAAGAGGAAACAAUUGGAAUUCCUCAAGACGAGCUCCCUCUCACAGCACACCCCAUCCAAAACCUCCUCCUUAACGGCUGCCCAGCUGACUUUAAACUGCCAACACCGACAAAAAGGGGAUGUUGCAUCUUUUAUAAACAGCCUUUUGUUUGCCGUUCUGACACCUGCGAAAAGCAAAAUUGUUAUUUUCUUGCUGCUUGUUGCUAGUUUGAUGCCCGCUCUGGGGCCCUACAUCAGAGACACUGUUCAAAACAGGUUGCAGGGGUCCGUUUCCGUGCUGUCUGCCGAUGGUGCUGCCUGAAGGAAAACCAUGGAAACGGAGUUUGACAGGCUCACAGGGACCCACGGCUGCCAGAGCCGCUGCCUUUGAGCGCCUGAUGAAGACAUCACAGAGCAAACACAACAUUAAAACGCUGCUGGCUGCUUUGCAUCACUUAGAAUGCAAAUCUCUUUGUUCUGCUCGGCCCUUGCGUUUUGUAGCCGAGGAAUCUGUGCUAUCAUCUAACAUGGAUUUGCUGACCUUUCUUCCCUCGCUGUCCGUUCUCCUAAAAAAAAAAAAAAUAUUUAAAAAAUAUUGUAAAAGAUCAGCUUUUGUGGGAAGGAGGGUGGCGUGGGUCUGUGCAUUUGAAAUGGCCCCAGUUUUUUUCAGUUCCUGGGAUUUCUGUGCACAAAUUAAACACCCAUAUUGCAGAGCAGGCUGGGUUGGGUUGCUUUGUUGCUCCCUGUGUAUUAUUUGACUUGGAUUCAUUUACAUGGCAACUCACAGGGGUAGAUUUUAUGUCAUCUUUAUGCCACAGAUUAAAAGGUAAAAGUAAUCCUUUAUUUGCACAGCACAUCCCCUCCAACCCUUUAAGCCGUACAGAUGAAAAUAGAGGAGAAAAAUGCAAACUCUCCCACCACCAUAAUGCCUACUUUAUAACUUUUUAUGCUAAAUUUAAGUGUGUGGUUAUUAUUCCGCCCUCCAUUUGUAGGUGGCCUGUACUUUUAACUGCAGUUUCUGAUUGCAGUCACUGUCAGACCUUUGAAAUGCCCCACACCUUUGUGCUCAGAUGUGGGAUUUGGGUGGCUCCUGACAGGCUGAGCUAUGCAUGGGGCCAUCAGGAAGGCUUUUUUGCUGAUUGGAGGAACCAUUGUGAGCAUCUGCAGUAGGAAAUAGCUGCUGGGGAGAGGCAAACAAACUGGCUAUUCUCUCAGAAGUGAUAAUUUAUCAUUUCAUUCUCCCUAUGCUGCAUAACUCACACAUUACUUACGCUGAGAGAGGGCUAUCAUCACUAAACUGGAAACAAUACACAAAACUUAGAGCUGCAGCUUGCAGUCAGGAAAUUAUUUAAGCUUGUGUGUAAAUCCGCCUCCAUCACGGUUCAGUAAGGCUUAAAUGGGCAUUUAGGUUAAGACUAUUCUCAAAGACUUUCCUAAAAAUACAGAUGCAGGUCUUACCUAAGUAGCUCCUCCGUAAGCUUUGGGAAGCUUGUCCUCAGGGGCCAAGGAAAGCAGUGUGUGACUGGUCCCUGCCUGGACUAGAGGCCUGCCACCAGAUGAGCACCUUCAUGGGUAUAUCUUGAGAUUAGACCAGAAUGAAGCUACUGGCUCCUGCUCAGACUUUCUUCUAAUAAAACUGGGGCCACUGAGGGUAAGGCAUAGAAAGGCCACAGUUUUGCUGCCCUCAUCUUUAGGGAGAUCAGUUCUGCAGCUGGAAACACAGGACAGACCCAGGGCGAAAGAGUUUUUCAAGUGAUGGUCAAGUCCCAUCGCUUUCCUUGCUGCUGCCAAGUGGAUGCCAUUCAGUGCCAGAGAAGAAGGGUCUGCCUGGACAAGGUUUCCAAGCGAGCAUUUGUUUUCUGCUUCUUGUACCGAGCCCAAGCUGCUUUGAGUCUGUUUUGCUGCUGCAACCUGGGAAGAGGCACACUUAGCAGCAUGGGUUAGCUGUCUCCACAGAAACUAUUAUUUGUGGGUGAAAUCACCGUGCAGUUAUUGGAAACAGCAGCUAUAAAUCUCCACGUAAGUGUUAAGGCCUCGUCACACAGUAUUUUCUCAGUCUCCACAAUGAUCCAGGUGCUCGUUUCUCUCAGCUUCCUAAGUUCCUUAUGGUUAUGCAGUUCAUUCUCUUUUUGCUCUCUCUUCCACUCUUUUUCUUCCUUUUUAGGCUGACUUCUGGAAAGACCUUCUCUUUUCUUGCAGACUCAUUGACUGCUUUCCUAACUCAAUUCCUCGUGCAAGACCCUGUAGAAGUGACAUUUACAAAAACACCAUUUUGAGACCUCAUUUUUUUCCUGCCCAUUGAUGUCCUCUCAGUUUGAAUUGCAGUGUUUAAUUUCGACUGUGAGGCAAAGUUGGCAGUUUCCUGACUAACCCAAUGUUAGAUCAGAAAAAAGAAUGAAAACCAGAAAGGUGCCUUAGAAUGUCUAAGCAGAAGACAAUCAAAUUUCUAUGUCAAAAAGAGGGCAAAACCAAGAAUGUGGGACUUGCAUGAAAAAUCUUGCAGACAGUUAUUUUUUCCUCUUCCUCUAUUUCACAGUGGGACAAAUUCCACUUUUAUUUCAGUUCAUCUGUAAAACAUGAGGAGCCAGCUGAGCGUAGCAUUGGUUCAGAAUGAGGGCAGCUGACAAGGGAAAGGUAAAAGGAACUAGUAACUCCUGCAGUUCUCUCCAAUAAAUGUCUUCAGUGCAAAGAAAAACCAACAAAAAAACCCCUCAAAUUAACUUCUAAAGAAUAGAGGAAGGCACUAGGACGUCAUCUAACAUCUAACACAGCAGACUCCAAAGUGUAAUUAAUGCAUUAAUUGUUUAUAUAUAGAGCAUCAUGUCCUGCUGUGUCGGGCUUUCUACACAUCGAUGAUCAUGUUGCCUCUUUUAUCUCCUUAUGAAGGAUUGCAGACGAGAAGGAAGCAGCUCUACAAGUCUGGGAUCAGAGUUAAUGGUUAGGACAUAGAUGCAGGUGGAAGAGAGAAACAUGGAAGAGCAGGCUGACCGAAGGCUGGGGCCAGCUGCUUUCAUUCACACUUAAGGCACCUGGGCUAUUUUGAGGGUGAAUUCUAGCUCCAGUAUUUUUUUAUAUAUACUGAAUACCACUCUGUGUUACUUUGAUUCAGGGAAGAGUAAAACCUGCAAUUCAUACGCAACGUGCUUUCCAAAUCUUUCUUCAUUGUCAGAGACUUCGGAAAAUAAUCUUCAAAGAAAGCUGAAAGGACAAGUUCAUCACUUGGGUGUGAGGAUUCCAAUGGAGCGCUCAUCUCCAGCUCCUUACACCUAAAAUCUUAGCUGUUUUUCCAUCUCCUUCACACAUAGAAGUUGGAUGGCACAAAGCAUUUCCCAGAAAACUGUCCUCGCUAAUAGUGAUGUUGCUCAAGUGGAGCCUGAAUCCCAUCAGCAGUAAAGACCCCUCCCAUCCAGACAGCAGCACUGAUCAGAGAGUUUGGGACUCCCAGUACGCUACAGUUUGCAAGUCUACUGCUAUGAGACAGAGAGGGAUAUUCAGAACAGCCUAAUUAGUUGCAUUUUCUUUUCUAACCCCAGUCAAAAACCAGUCAGACUGUGCUUUAGAUUUUGACAUCCUAUUAAAUGCAGAACACAGGCCAAUAGCUUUCAUUUUCCCCUGUGAUGCUGCAGACUCUUGUUUUUAUAGCUUGACAGAGAGACAUAAUUAGGCCUCAGAAAGGACAAGUCCAGACUAUUAGUUUCCCACAGAGGCUCCAUGGAAAAUCAGAACCCACAAUUACUCUCCACUUUCCCACUGAGGUAAAUGUAUGGAUACCUGCUUUCCAGCAUCAGAUGUUCCGUUCACAACCUUUAAGCCUAUGACUUUGCAGUCCUUUCACUUGAAGGGCACAAGGAAAAAGAAAGGAAGGAUGAUACCAGCAUUUGACUUUCCAAAGGGACAAGUGCAUGUAAAGGACAAUAAAUGACAUUGCUAAUGCUAUAGGUGCAGUGCUUCUCAGAGAUGCAGCCAGAGAGAAAAAGUAAUGUAUCUCCAUAUUCCUGCCCUCUUCAUUGUGGCCCAACAUAAUUGGGUUGUCAAUAAUAAUAAUUAAUUAAUUGAUUGAUUGAUUGAUUGAUUGAUUCAACUGUAUCACAUGUAAAAUGAACCAGUUACAUGUUAGCAGGCUAAGCACAAUUCUGGUAAAGCAGAAAGCAUCAUCAGAGCAUGACACUUAGUGACAUUUGUUCAUUGGGGUCCUUACCCAUUCUCUUCAUCUGUUUCUGAGUUAACAACAGCUUCACUUUUUAGUUCUCAAAGACCACUAGAAAAUUCACUUCCUAGAUGCCUCAUUCUCUCUCUCAAAGGCAAUUCCUUAGUCUGUGUUUGCCAAGCGGUGCAUACCAGCUCCCACCUGGUCUUAGUCUCCAAAUGCUUGGACAGUUUCUGUACAUUUCCUGAUGAGCUGCAACCUUGGACACAUCUGAUUCAGAUGAGCUCUCAUCCCCAAUAUAGCCAUGGAGCACUGGUCCUUUGUUUGUUUUUGCAAUAGCAUCAUAUUUUAGAUGCAUCUUCAGUUUAUAAUCCCCAGUAAUCCUCAGAUCCUGCUGUGCCUAGCCAGCAGUCCUUAAUUCCAUGUAAACCAUUCUACAGCUGUCUUUAUUAUAUCAUGUGUUACUGUUUUCAAGUCAUUACCCCAAUCUAUCAGCAUUAUAUUGAAUUUUAAUCCUAUCUUCCAAAGUGUUGCUCAACACAUUGUCUGGGAAUUCACCCCACAAGGAGCAUCAGCCCCUGGUCCCUCCUGCCACCUGCUUCCCAUCGCUAACCGUGGUGCAUGAUCUGGUCCUGUGCCAGAGCUGUACAGCACAUAUUGCACUGCUGGCACUUCUUUUUUCUUGUGGUAUUGUCCUUUUCUUUGUAGGAUGUCAAACCUAUUCAGGACUAUUUCAUCCCACUGAAAACCCUUGACACCUGAUACCACAGAGAUGAGCAGUAAUUAGGGGCAGGGCCUAUCUGCCCAUCUGCAAGUACAAGAAAAUGCUUUCCAUUUCAAAUAAGCAAGGUUUAUUCCUCACUUUAAAGCCUUGGCUGCGGGUUCUCAUAUCUCCACAAUGCUUCAAAAGCACUCCAGCAACCUGGGACAUGCAAUUGCUAAAUGCACACAUUGCUGGCCCCUCUUCCUGGCCAAAAUGGCAUGGGUCAUGGAGAGCCAUGCAGAUACAGACUGCAGCACGCUGCUCUGCAGCCACUCAAUUAGACUGCCUGUUUGUGCUCAGCCUCUCAAGCGCUUGGUGAAACUAAAAUGCUUACACAAUUCCUCUGCCUACAAGGCCUUGAAAUCUUCAGGGGGCCUGGCUUUGCUGCCUGGUUUUCCACUGACAGGCUGAUAGAGACAUCACAAAUCUCUCCAAAGGCCAGUCACCAGGCUUCUUUCAACAUCAAAGGGUGUCAGUGUUCAGUCUGCCUAGGAGCCUGGGGCAAUAUAAAUCACACAUGAAUAGGUGAACUGAGUCUUUGAGGUUAAACUCUCUCUGUAUAUACAAAUAUCUCUCCUUGGGUAUCUGAUGUCAUUGUGUUGUUUUCCCAUCAAUAUCACGUAUUUUCUUUCAGUUGUAAUAUUCCAAUGGAAAGCUAGGCUUUAUAGACAAAAAUAAAAAGGAUGUGCUAGGGUGCUGCAGGAAGGGAAUUAACUUAUUUUAAAAAUGUACCGUCACUGUCUUGGAAGAAAAGUCAGUAAACCGAUAUUGGGGUUUUUUUGUUGGGCUUUGUCAACGUCUGUAGCUACAGUCUCUUGGGCUGAACCAUCUUUCCUACAGUCACUCAGGUGUGUUUAUUCCCAGACGUGCCGGAGCCCCUGCCAGGCACCUGGCUCACCCACAGAGCUUCUGCUUCCACCACAGCUCCCGCUGUAGUCAGGCAGCAUGGCCCAGCCCCAGAGCUGGGCAGCAAGAAGCAGAGUUGAUGAACACAGAUGUCAUCCCCUGCAGAGGCUCCAGCCAGCCAUGGCCAGCAUCAAGGAGGCAGAUCUGGGAGCCUGCAUUUCUUCUUGGACUGACACCUCACUCAGAUGCCGAGUGUCAUCUGGCUGUAGAAGACCUGGAUGACAGGAAAUGUGUUUACUCGUGUUACAUCAACCAGCUGACACCUUGGGUCGUUAGCUGGAGAAGGCGAAAUGCCUCAGUGGUGGCUGUUUGGAGAGUUUGAUUCACCCUGACUGGCACAGUUGUGGCACCUCUGUGUGGGGUAUUUAUCACCUAAAAACAGGAGUCAGGACAGCUGGGCCUGUCACUAAAUUACACUGCACAAAGAUAGUUCUGACUCCUGCCUACCCUUCUGCAGGCAGGGCCCUGGCAGCAGCUCCCGUGUCAGUGCUACAUCAGCACAUUCAUGAGACGCCUGCACUGCUGCCAACUGGCCCUGCCUGCUCCCAGCAGCAGUACCUGAUGCCGCUGCGGAGAAAAUUUGGUCCAGUAUCUUGUAGAGUAUUCAACAGAUUAUCACAUGGGAGAGAAUGCCCAAUCCCUGGGGGCUUGCUAUUCCCAGGAAAUAAAUGGCUAUCAGGUUCAGGUUGUUGGCUACUCGAGAGACCUGCUCAGCUCUUAAGCCUCUCCACAUCUCACCUGCUCUCUCAGCAGCUGGCUACAUCCCAUGCUUCUGCAAGACAGUGAGAGAAACGUGCAGCUGGUCAGCCUCCAUGUCCUCCCAUACAGCACACAGCUCACCCUUCCCACUGCCACUGCUUUUCCUCAACCAGAGAGGGAUUUUUCCUGUGGGCAGCCACCCAGCCAGGUCCCACAGCUUUGUGCCAAGCCAAAACGUGAGCUGGGAAACUACCUGGUCUUAAAUGAUGUGGGUUUAAUGAGAUUUUUUUUAUGACCUCUGCAGUAAAUUGCCUGUGCUCAGUAUUGUGUUUGAGUAACACCCAGCAGAAAUUGUAGCAAGGCAGUAAUUGCAGAGUAUCUGUCUAAGAUCUCUGUGCCAUGAGGCGUGGAUUUUCAUUUCAUACAUUAGUAGCAAUUUGCUGCCAUAGUUCCGUAUAAUCAGUACAUUCCUUUUAACUACAGCAGGAAAAGGAGAAGGAGGAAACUUCCCAGCACUGGGAAAACGCUCGGAGCUGCUGUUUGGAAGCAGAACUGUGUGGGUUGGGUGGCUCUCUCCCUUACCUCUCCAGCUGACCAAGGGCUGCAUUGCUGCUCAAGUCACAUACCCCUUAACACAAAGUCACAGAUAUGACGGGAAAAAUGGGUUUGCAUGCCCAUUUCUAGAAGGGUUUAGUGAGCAUUGAGGGGGUUAUAUGCCAGAUUUUACAUUAUUGCCACUGCUCAUGCUGCAUCAACAAAUUCCAACCACCUUAACACAACAUAUCUUUUUUUUUCUGUAAACCUGCCCCUUAUAAAUAUAGACUCUUACAUUAGAUGGAUGCUGCUUUGCUGAGUGAUGCCAUCCAAGCCACAUGCACCUACAGCAUUAGGUCAGUUAGGAGAACAGAAGCCUGUGCUGGGCAGCCUUGUUCUUGGAGGUAAUCAGGAUGCCCUGGAAGGACAGUAAGCAUUGUCGAGGAGAGGAACCUGAAAGAGACACUCACUUAUGGCUUUUAGUGCUGAAACAGCCUGUGCUUUGGCUAGCAGGUGACACGCUGGUGUCAUUAGACAGAAAGCAGUUGUAGGUCAGAACUGAUGGUCAGAAAAACGCCCAUGUCACUCUCAUUGCUUCAAAACCUGCAUCUACAGCUAGAGUACUAUGUGCUGGCACGCAUCAUCUGAAUACUUUUUGGCACAGCAGUUUCAGAGUCAGCAUUUCAGGCUGUAACCUAACUAGGAGAACUGUGCUUCACCAACAGCCAGAGCUUUUAUGCCUUUCUGUGCUCAUUCACUAUUCAAAUUGAGGCCAUCAUUCCCAUACCUGCACAUCUCAGUCCAGUCUCUGUCCUACACUGCAAAAGAAUACACCUUUCAGUGAGAUUUUAAAAGGCCUUCAGACGAAUGCCAUGGGCUCUUUCCAUUCAUUUGUAUCCCCUGCUCUGAAAUCAGAAUGUGACAGUCUUUGCAGUUAAAUAGCAUUUGACUUCUCCUGUUUCUUUCUUUUGACAUGCAGUCUGCAGGGCUGCAGUCAGGGAAUCGCUGCCUUGCAGUAGCCAAUACUUACUCCACUGAUGCUCUGGGCACAUCUCAUGUCUAGCUUAAAAUCUGCAUAAUGAAAAGAAAGCCAUUUUCCUUACAUUUCAUUUUCCUGUUCAAAGUUUUUCAUGUGCCAGGUUGUUGUUUUUUAAUCACACAAAAUGGUAUAUAUUAAUGAGCUCUGAAGUUACAUAAGGAUAGAUCUAAAGCAUAAAAACACUAAUAUGCCCUGUAGCAUUCAGUGCUUUGAACACAGAAUGGCAUCUGUGUGAGAGUGUGAUUGCAUGCAGCUAUGGAAACCAGUGCCAGAAAAUGAGGAAAUGCUGAACAAGUGGUGCAAGAUUGGAAAAAACUGGGAACAAAGAUAUUCAAUUUGCAUAAAAAGGCCUCGUUCUCCAGCAGCCUGAAUUGAGCGACUUUCCACUUCAAAAUGAUUAUUUUCUAGUUCUGCUGGCAACACGUCCAUUAUCUUUUUCUUGAAAGAAAACACUCCCACCAGCUCCCAGCAGAAAUGGAAGGGCGGGCACGUUCCUAGGUUAGAUGUGGCUGUUGCAAAUGGGACAAGUUUUGCAAACAUGAAGAAGUGUAAGGACUUUCCUCGUCUUUGCGUUCAUCCCAAGCAAUUUCCUUCUCAUUUCCAGAUGGUGCCAAUUAGGAGUCAGAACCCCUGCCCUAAUGGUUGUUAACAAAACAAGCACAAUCUGAGACUUUAAUGAGUAAAACUAGAGUCACAUAAUACACCCAAGAGAAGCCAAAAAUGAAAAGAAAGAUUGCAGUUGGCAAACACUUUGGUUGUCGGGUACUAAAAUUGUAAAAUGCUAUGGCUGGAGCUUGGGUUUUUAGUACUGAAGGGGGCCUUCUACUGCUGAGUUCAGUGGGAUUAUAUUGAGGCUUAAAGAUAAGCACUUGGAUAAACCAUUCCAAUCAGUGACUGAGGCAUGACUUAAGCAGUAAAGCUGGGCCACAUGUAAUUCAUAUUAUAAGGUCUUUUUAUUAUGUAUUAUUGAAUUCCUUCUAUUAAUCAGUAAUUGGCAAUUAAAAUAGCAUCCAUACUUUCAAAAAAAAAAACAAAAACAAAAACAGAUAUUUCCAGUUAGAAGAGCAUGCCAUUGAGAUGCAGCAGAAACCAUUGGCUAGAAGUGGAAGCUGUAUGAACUCAGGCUACACAUCAGGUAGGGAUGUUUCAUGUCAAGGGGAGGCAAUUAACUAUUUUCACAGAUUAGCUAAGGAUGUAAUGCAUGAUCUUUCACUCGAAAACUUUGCCUCUGGGGUGAGCACCUAUCUGAAGAGAAUUCUCCAGCACAGCUGUGUGUAACUUUUCUUAAUUCACAGAUUCCUGAAGAUGAUUCUGUGGGGGUUCCAGCUCUUGGGAUAGCAAAUCUUAAGAUUGCCCUGUUUGUAUUGCUUACCUCUUCCUUAUUCUGCACAAAUCAGUCAUGAACCCUGAGAUUUUUAGACCACAGUCUGAAAAAAACCCAUCAUUUUGCUCAAACCAGAGUUCUGAGGAUAGAUUUACUGAAACAGUUCCCUUGUGUUGUGGCGGGUAUCCUUCUGACCAUUGGAAGGAUGCGUUGGAAGUGUAUUCUGGAGUAGCUAAACUGAACAAAUAUUGGAUAACCCUUUCCUUUAAUAAUGUCUUUUUGUGUUGGGAAAAAUACUGUUUUGAUACUUGAAAGUGCCUGAUUUUAUUUUAUUUCUUUUGUAUGAGCACAUCCCAAGCCUUGCACACACCUGCUGCUAGGAUUCUACAUCACCGCCUAUAGCACACACAUCACAGAAUAAUCCUGUUAGAAAAGGAAGGAAGAAAUAGAAAUAUUUCAGGCCUUCUGUCUUUUCCAGUGUACAGUAUUUGCUUCCCUCCUUCCAUGAGCCCCUUUCUUAAGCCUCCUGUUCUACCCAUCUUGGAGCCACCCACCACGGUCAUCAUGUGGCUUGGAAAGGAAAGCAGACGUGCUCCCAGUCUGUCCUGCAGAGCUUACACCUCUUACAUCACAUGAGAAAAUACAGGGUAAAACUUUAAACUCAAAAUUCUCUUGAGGGUCAUGUAGCUCCUCAUAAAGUCCUCAUUACCACAGAGUCAUCUCAGAACAUCAUAAAGUUAAUAUUAACUCAGACAAUGAGGUGAUUCCCUCAAGCUGUGAGUCAACUGCUGCUUUCCAAACUCCAAGAAGAUAAAUCUGCAUACUUCUCACUAUCCUCUGUAGUUGGUGCAACCUUCCAGGCUCUUCACUGCUGUUGUAUUUGUUUUGUCAUUUAUUACUGAAAUGAGACGAGGAAUUCUGGAGCAAUUCAGCAGAUCACAAAGGGCAAAAAGAAAGGAGGACCUGUUGUCAUUCUCGCUGAGAUAGCCGUAAGACUGAUUGUGCACUGCCUGUGUGUAAAGACAGGACCGUGUGAUGCAGGGAAUAAGAGUCUCUUAGAUGACCAACUAUCACGGAAAGGUCUGUGUUACCUUCGAGAAGACAGGGCUGUGGUUGUGGCACAGAUGUGCUGAAGCUACUCUGAGCUUCUCCACAGAUGUUAGUAGCCAGCACCGCCAAAGGCAGCUGCUUUGGACAGCUGGACAUGGGGGUGAGUUUUCCUAAGGAAAUUCUAGGAGAGUAAAUGGCAAAGAUCCUCUGGUUUGGGUGUGAGCCCUAAUGUUUUUUCCAGACAAAAGGAGUCGGUUUAGAAAGCAGAUUAAUACUGUAAGCAAGGGUUCCUCUGCAAGCAAGUUGGGCUGUGCUUCAUACUGCAGAAAAGGUUACAUCAUCCAGGUCUUAAUCUAAAGAUACAUGUACUAAAAUAUGUGGCACAUGUUUAAAUGCUUUGCUAGGUCAGAGACCUAAUUUGCUCCCUGUCAGUAGGGUUGUUCUCUAUCAUGGACAUUUUUAGGGCUAAUUAGACUGUGCUCCUGGCCAUUGCAAGAGCAAAACCCAAGGCAUGAAUCCUCUGGUGCUUCUAAGUGCUGUCAGCAUUUUGCAGAUAACAACAAAUAAUAAUAACAACCUUUCUGUUUGAGGUCUGUGCUCGAGGUGGUUUCAGGGGUGAUCAGAUCUGGCAGGAGAACUGCCAAGCCGAUGAGGGCUGCCCCAGCCCUGUGUGAAAGAUGGCCCAGAUACGGUCCUGAAUGUGGAAUUAUUUUCAUGCCCUUUUUUACCUCUCCUCCACCUCCAAUUUCUAACCAUUCUUGUGGAUCUUAGAUUCCCGAUUCUUAGACUUCAGAUGAUAAACUGUGUCUUUGCUGGGUCUGGUUUAAGACUAUCAAGUAUGUUUGCUAUUGCAUUACUAAUCUGCAUACAGAACUAGCUUGCAUGCUCCUACCCACAGCGUGUGAUGAUCAUUAACCUGCUCUCCUGUUCCUGGAGUCACUGACUCAUUGCAGGUGGUUUACAAACUUGCAGGGAAGAGAGCUUCCUACACCACUCCAUGUGUGCAGGCCCUAAUGUGACUUCCCAAAUCAGCACACAGAAGCAAUACAAACAACAUUCAUAAUGCCAUAAUGCUCACUGCACGUGCAAAUUUGAUACAUCACUGGGCACAUAUUUUGUGCAUGAAAUUGCACGGUUGGUUUCAAGAUAACAUGCUCCUUCAGCAUGGUCUCUGUUUUGCUUUCUGACAGCUAGGUUACAUUUUACCCAGUUGAAACAUUUCCCAUUCCAUCAUGUAAUGAAGAAGCUGAGGACAACUGUAUUAACAGCCAAUAAUAUCUAGUUAUUGAAGUUGAUUUGUCUGCCUCCUUUACAGUCUUCUAAACUGUUUGCCUGAAAUUGCAAUUCCCCAGCCAGCAGGACUGUCUGUGAACACUAGAUGGCACUUUGCAGCAAGAAAGGUUAAUAGUUUAUGCAACUAAAAGAAGAUCUCCCUUAUUGCCCUCAUUCACAGGGCAGGACUUUUUGCUUACUGUGUCCUCAGCACCUCAUUGGCCCUAAUUCAGCAUGUAGUCCACAGAGAAAUACCUGAGCAGUUCCCAGACAGAUUCUCACUUUCACCAAAGAUGGCAUGAUUAUUUCAUGAUGAGCUCUAGCUUAUAUUAAUAUCAAACUACUUCAUAUUCUGCCUAAAGCUGCAGCAUAUACAAGAAGCUGUAUUGAAACAGGGAGACCUGCAGGUAUCUCAGAUGCUUUCUUAUGGGUUGGCUCAGGUCAGGAAGCUGCCCUUUUUCCUGUUAACACCUGUAGUGGUACAAGGGCCAGCAUUCAUGGGAACGUGGCCUCUUUUAUUUACCCCUGAGGCUACACUGGAAUAGUAACCCACAGCCAGCCUCAGCCUGCCUUGCAGAGCAGGUAUGUGAGCACGGUCCAGAGCAUCCUCCUCUUCUCCGGGAAGCUGAGGUUUAUUUACCCCACCCUCUCCCAGGUCAGGCCUUCAGGCAGCACUGCGCCCAGCAAGUGCCCUACAAGUGUGGCACAAAAGUUUACUGUGGCUGAGGCCACAGUAAACAACUUGCCAGUAUCUUAUUUAGGUGCAAGGGUGAACUGCCACAGAUUAUACGUUAAGCACGACAUGUAGGAGGCUUAGGUUCUGUAAGGCUCAGGUUAUCCACACAGAGCUGCCGAGUGCAACAGCAGACACACCUGGAGCCUAUCCUCUGCAGAGCUGUGUCCCCAUGGCACCUUCCUGGGGACCUGCUUGGGCUGCAGUGCCACACUUGUGGUUGGGCAUCUCUUACCGGGAAGCUGAGGCAGAGCUGGUGAGCGCCUGCAUCUGGAAAGGUGGAAAAGCUGAGUCCUGCUGAGCAGCUUGAGAACAGUCAUGCCACGUGCUUUCCUGAGCCAGUGCCCUUCCUCACCCCUUCCUGCACACAUCUCCCAGAUGGCAUCCAGGGGAAAUCUCCCACUAGUGCUGCUUCACUUGUUUUGGAAACCUUUUUCUUUCCUUGUAUAGCCAUUAUUCCUUCAUCCUUUUGAUAAUGCUUACACCUCGACUGAAUGUCAACUGCCGCUCUUCACACAGAGCUGCAGUGCUUGGCCCCGUUUGAUCUUUCCCAAGGUCUUUCUUAGCACAUUCCACCUUCUGUAGCUUUUUUUUCCUCUUUCUUUUAAAUAAAAGAUUUCUACAUUUUUAAGUCAUCACCUGGAUUACUUAUUUAUCCUCUCAUCCUCACCAAGGUCAGUGUUUCAUUGCUUGGAACUAUUUCUUCACCCUUCCUACAGAUUACUGUACAAGGUCCUCUUUUUUCCUCAGCUACCCGACUGUCUCUGUCCCUAACUCCCCUCCAGCAACUUGCUUUCCCUCAGUGUCUCAGCUCUGCAGUUUGUGAACUGGUCAGGCUACCAACAAGCUGACUGCACGUUGCACAGCUUCCCCUUACUCCAGGAAGAGCCGAGCAAUUCCAGUUUCAGAGGUUACCCUUAAAUGUUGUCCUAUUCUAACAUAGAGGUUUGAUUUCACAUAACUCUCUCUUGCUUUGUUCUGCCUCUGCUUAAUAUUGUUUCCCAGCUCCAUAGACAAAUGGCUGAUAAAUUCAAGAGUUUUGUCUCAGUACUGAAUAGAGACCUUGAAAUUGUACCUCAGUCCCACAGCCAUGGCUGACUACUAUGGCUGCUGCUGGCCUUCACUGUGCUUGGUGGUUUCAUCAGUGAUGGCACAAACAGAGGGCAGUGAUAAUGGCAGGGCAGUGGCCUAGAGCCCAGAAGGAGCCAUACGUUGGUGGCAUCAGCCCAGCAUGGCCUCAGCGAGGCUCACCAGCUGGGAAGGAUGAGGGGAAAGCUCCUGCUCUCUGUCCUCCUGCAGAGCGAGAGACAGAGCUGAACAGAGGGGGCUGCGCAUGGGGCUCCUCACUGCUAACAGUGGCACCUCAUACUGCUGUCCUGCCAUGUAACACCCACUGCUGGGCCUCAUCCAGUAUUGUCUGUGCUGCAAAAACCUUCCAAGCCAACCAAACAAUAGAUUCUAGCAUAUUCUGACAUUCUCCUUUCAUCACAGAGUAUAGCACUGUUAACCUAGUAAGGAAGCCUCAAUCUCUUUCCAGUUCAGGAGAAUUCUCUCCAUUGUUUCCAAAGAAAUCUUUCUGGAUGUACUGCCAAGAGUGUGCCUUUUCUGUCAUGUUCCAAGUUGCUUGAAAUAACAAAGAAUUAUCCUCACAAUUAAGAUCAGGCUGUACAAUUUAGAUACGUGCCUUAAAAGAUUUCCUAUUCUCUGCCAGAGAUGUAUUGUUCUUCCCCAUUUAAUUUUAUUUACUUUUUUUUAGUGGAUGCAACAGUUACACUGUCAUUUAUCGGAGAAGAAGGAAGCAGCAGCUGCAGAGCUGCGUAUAUAAAAUAAACACAGUGUGGAUGAAGCUAUCAGAAGCUCAGAUUUCAAGGAGGAGAGGGGGAGGAUUGCUUUUAAUAAGAUCUUGUGUCAGUAAAGUUGUGAGACGGAACUGCAGGGUCUUACCCUAUUAAGAAUACGAGUGGGAACAAAUUCUUUCAUUUAAUGGAACAACAGUGUUAGCUGCAUGCAUACGGACAGAGGGCUUAAUUUAAAAAGUAAAAAGCAAUUUGGUCAUUCAUGUUCAGACUUUGGGAACUCCGCAGAGCAUGCCAAAUGCGCUCAUUUCUUUUUAACCCUUUGGCUGCAAGGCCUGUACUGUAUGGCAGAGGCACGGCCAUGGCAUUACUCGCUUGAACAGAACUUUUUUCUCCCUCGAGGAGCUAUGCAGGGAGCAGCUGAUGCCCAGGGAAGGCAGGUGGAGGGAGGCAUCCUGCCCCCAGCUCUGAUGCAGUUUUGUUCUGUUAGCUUGGGUGAAUCGCUUUGCUUGCCAUCAGUGCAAACACAGAUGCCGAUGGUAUCAAUGGCUGCUACUUGUUUGUUUAUUCAUCUGUAUUAAACCAGUGACUAGGAAGCCCCAGCAAGCAUGAGAGCACCCAGACCAGAGGGCUGUACGGGAGCCAACUGCAAUUGUACUCUCUGAGUUAGCAGCCGAGCACUACAGCAUCGCAUACCAUGACAUGAAUUUGCCCCAUCCCUCGCAUGCUCGCACAGUGACAAGUAGUGCUGCCUUGGAAUGGUACCUGGCCGCUCUGAGGCUGCAUACACGCAAUGAAACCCUUGUCCUAAAACCAACAGAGGCACGGGCAGAUGUAGGUCCAGCAGCCCAACCUGUGCUGCACAGUGUAAGGGGCUCUGAGGUGUCCCUUUUGGGCAGCUCCAUGCACCUCACACAGUGCACCAAAACUAGGGGCAGGGAGCUGAGUCAGUCGAGCACCAAAUCAGGUUGGAUGAACAUCCUUAUCACAGGUGUUUUAUAAUAAAGCCGAAACCAUUUUGUAAUACAACUAGAUACAGCCACAGGUGAUAACAGUAACAACAAACACACUCCUCCACUGAGCCACCGUCUGCUCGAGCAGCACACCUCACUGCAGGUGGAGCCCAGCUAGCUCUGGACAACUCUGACACAACCACCUGUGGCUGUAUUUCCAUAAACACACGUAUACACACACACACGGAGCUCUACUACGGGCAUUAUUUCAUUAACAGCAUCAUCGUGCAAAAUGUGCAUGUAUUUUCUAUAAUUGUAUAAUCAGCAUAUAAUUAUACAGAGUAGAAAAUAUAAACAUAAAUUAAAUAGGUGAAUGCAUUUAUUAUUCAGAUAUAAAUUUCAGUGGUAACUGAAAUCGUGCCACGGUGGAUGUGUGUGUAUUUAAUACAGCACUGGAAUGGAAAGUGUUGCAUGUAUAGAAGUACGUGAUACAGCGAAGGCCACCUCUGCACUCAGACCCAGGUUGCAGUGACACUGCAGACAGAGGCGUCAGAAGACUCUAGCAGUGAGUCUGCAGUGGAAGCCUGCUGCCGGCACUCUGCUGGGAAAUUAACAGCAACAACAAAAGGAAAUGGAUAGAGCUUCUGUUUUGCAGCUGCCUCAUUGUGCAGGGACUACAGUGCUUCCAUCUGCCCACAUGGAAGAAUGUUGGGCUGGGAAUGCAGCUGACAACACACACUCUUCUGAGGUAUAAUAUACACAGGAAAGCCAAAGGAGAAGAGGCUUUUCUCCCUAGUUCAGACACUUACCUCAGCUAGCUGCCUGCAGCCUUCACUUAAAACACAGCCAAGUAGGUAAAAUGGAGAAAUAGGAUUAUUUUUUAAAAAGAUACUAUACUUUUAGAAGUAUGCAAGCAUGCAACCAUACAGCCUUAUGCUAGAGAGUAUGAAAUCACCAUCCAGACCUCUUACAUCCCAGCGACCUGAUAAAAAGCAGUACAGAAACACUGAUAAAAAUGGGUCUGAGAUUGUUGACCUCCUUUCACUUUCUUCUGUUUAUGUGAACUGUAGCUGGCCGCUAGAGGCAGACAGACCUCUAGGGUUUCAUGUCUCACCUAGGAGAGCCGCAUUCCAGACACACCAACCCAUUAGCCCAAGCUUCUUCCAAGAGAAAUACUUUAUCAUACGGAACGGCUCAGGAAUUCAGCCCUCAACGAGGACUGCUUCAGUCACAGAUGGGAACUUGGGAACUGCACUAAAUCACAGAUGGUGUAUUUUUUCCUAGAAUUCACAAAAUGAGCUAUUUCCACUGCUUGCUUUUUUUUUUCCCCUUCUCUGAUUUUUAUAUUUUGCACAUGGCAAUUGCAAACAGAGAUACACAUUUUUUAAAAGGGCCCUUGAAAACAGUUUCUCUUAAUGAUGCAUGUAAUCUUUUCCUGUUCAGCACACCCUAACAACAACAUGUCAUCCUUUUCAGAAAUUAAAACACAGUUAAUUUUAAUAGGAUUGGGUUUAUGUUUUAUGCACUUUGCUUAUUUAUAUUCUGUGUCAUUUCUUUUUUCUUGGAUAAGCUUGAAAUUCCCUUGUUAUCUCUUGAAAUACUGUCAGCCGUGAGCUAUUUCAUGGACCAAGAUGUGGCAGCUUCUGCUGUUGCCACUCGUGGGCCACAAGAAUGUGAUGGAUCCCCACUCAUACUCUUUACAGUUUGUGUUAUCUUAAGUCUGAAUAAUCACCAACAGAAGAAGGUGGCAUAGCCCACAUUCAUCCCAUCAAACUUUGGCCGUUAACUGAGGCAGUGUAUUCAGGCACCCUAUAAAAGCCCUCUGUAGUCAGAGGAGGAGAAUGGAAGAAGGGCGAGGGGGAGAACAGGAGCACCACGGCACACCAGCAGCUCAUUCUUUGGAGAAGCUUCUCUGUCUGCUGUCUAUAUAAGGAGCCUAAGGCAGGCAGGUACUGUAUGCAAGUUGGGGAAGAGAGAAAUCUGGACAUCUUCCAAACAACUUAGUCUUAAAACAUAAAACAACAGAUGGAAACAGAGAGAGAUGGGGGUCCACAAGCAGUCAAUGAGAUUGUGUUAUGAGUUUGCAUAGAACACGCCAGUCUCUGCACAUCGGUGCAGUUCCUCUUUCGAGCUGCUAAGUGACAGCAAAAAAAGGCAAAAUUACAUCUAAUACUUUCCUGAAAUUGCUUCAUUGCAUUUCCAUGUAAACUGCUGCUAUAGCUGGCACAGAAAUUUUAUUUGUUUGCCAGUAGGAGAGGAGGGCAGCUUAUACAACAUGAAUAAGAGAAAAGGUAGCUAUGAGCAAAUCUCUCAGUUCAGCCACGAUUCAGAAGGAUUUAGAGCUCCACAUGUUGAUACCAGUAUGGAAACAAGUAGGUUGCUACCAGCACCGUGCUGCGAUCCAACCUCUGGGGAUCCUUUUCUAUAUCCAUUUAACUUUUCCACCUCAUUUGCUAUCACAGGCUGCUCAGAUACUGUCGUCAUUUCGUUUCUGUUUUGUAUUUACUGAUGUUAUCAAAAAUUACACUUCAGCGGAGGGUGAUCAGGGCAGCACUGCGUGCUCAAACCUUCACGUGUUAGCCACGAAGCCAAACAGCCAAUCAAACAAAAACACUAUGCAAGUCAACAUUAAUCUUUCCACUGGGCUUUGAAACAGACUUUUAAAGAUUAAUUCAUGUUAUAUUGAGAUUCCACAGUCCUUUGGCAGUGACAGGACUUUGGUAUUGUUGUAACACUGAAUUACAUUCGGGCUGAGUUCCGGGCGCUGUUUGGCACUCACAGCCAGCCAGGCCUUCAGAGCCUUGUGCUGAUUGUUCUGACUCUCAGACAAAUUGCUCAGCAGUCUCUUCAGGUCACAGACAGAGAUUUUGGCCUAACAAAGAACAGCUCCAGUCCCACCACCAGUGCUUCUGCCGGAUGCAAUCACACUUGCUAUAGCACACUCUUACUCAUGACCUCACUCCAGGUCCUUGCCAACACACAUCCCACACACAUCACCUUCUCUAGGGGAAAAUGCACAUCUGCUGCAGUGUCUCAGAGGGAGAGUGGCCUUGUUUGUCACAUCACAUCACAUGGCACCCACCCACCUACAAUCACAGUGUGACAGAAAGCCCAAACAUGGUCACUCACACAGUGGAUCACAGCCAAGGCCCCUGUCCUGACUUUGGUCCAGCGCUGGUGGUCUGGAGGAGAGACAGGUUGUUCCUUAGAGAGUCUGCUCCUUUCUGUGAGCCAGACCUAAGGGACUUUUGGAUUAGAGGUUGGCCCGGACCACCAUGUUUCAUGGGCAGGGAGUAAUCUAUCCUCCAUUCAGUUUGCUCCUCGUUCUGCGUAUUUUUGUUGUUGGCCUCCAGUUUUUCCACACCCUCCCAUAGCUUUCUGCACCACUUAAACGUGCACUGUGCAAAAUACUUAUUUCUUUGUAUGUAAUGGUUUUGGACUCCUGCACCAUCUUGCUAAUGUGCUUCCUCUCCCAAGUCUCUCUUGUGUCCAAGUGGUGCCAUGCUACUGUUGUGGUUGCCUUUUUGGCUGACAGUGUGAGAAGAGCAGGGAAAGGGGCCAGGCGACUGAAUUCUUCAUACAUCCACGAUGCUAAGCAGCUAAAGGUAUGCAGGAGGCAGUGUUCUGCCUGCAUCCCUAAGAUCUCCCCAUGAGGGAGCUCCACAGCUGGAAUGGAUACUGCUCUUGGAUUUUAAUGCCCAUACACCCACUCACAUAAAGCCCAACUAUCGAGUCUUUAUGAGGGUGAAGUGGAUCUGAGCCUAAACAUUUUAGAUGUAGUGAGUUUGUAGUCACGCCACACACGAUUUAGUGAAUAACUGAUGCAAGGCAAAAAGAUGGCAGCGCUGUGUGAUCUAACAGCUGUGCAAACAAGCCAGAGAAUUUAAAAUUCAGGAAGCUGUAUCUGCAGGAAAGCAUUUAAAAAAAAUCCCUAGUGUCACAUCUGGUGGCAUCAAAUUGUCAUUAUGACAUGGUAUUUAAGAUGAUUUAAUGGGUUUACUGCCGAGUAAGAACCUUGGAGUUUGCUUAAACUACUGAGCAUUAAAAAGAUGUAACUCUUUAAAUGACAUUCUGACAAAGUACUGCCUAAACAGUUCAUUAUCCUUCAGGAAUACAUACAUAUGUGUAUCAGCAUGUGUGCAUGUGGAAAUGAACAGAUCAAUAGGAAGAUGAACAGAGCAGACUCGUGUGGUGGGAGAAUUAUCUUUGGAAAAAUUAAUUAACUCCCCUUUCUCCCUCUCUCUUCUGCAUCUCGUACAUCCAUGCGGCGGGCAGCGGGCAGGAUCUCCGUCCACCUUAAUUACUCCUCUCUUAGGGCACUGAAUCAAUGGGUGGUUUUGAAACAAAGGAUUCAGCUACUAAAAACAGCCUGGUAAAGUGUCUGGGAAAGGUUACUGAUUAUAGAUGACUUCUAAGAAAAGGUGCCGAGGAAAAGAAAAGGUGCCUCUUUUCUUGCUGAAUAUUUUUAAUGUGUCUUAGUAUUUCUUUCACCUUUAGUUCCUGGAACAGUUCUCAUUUCCUCUGAAUGUUCCGACUUCUUAUCUCAAGCCCUUUCAGCUUGUUGAUUUUAAAUUCAGUCUGGCUAAUUCAAAUUCAAGGCACACUGCUCCUGAAGUCUUUCACCAUCUUCUGAUUCCACAGAAGGGGGCUGUUAAUAGUAUGGGGUUUUGUCAGUGAGGAGCAGUGCAAACUUCCUUUUACACUUAUUCCUUUCAUACUAGAUUGACACGACACAUAGCAAGCUAGUCAGACAAUCUUGCUGUACGUGUCUAACUUGGUGAUUUUCUCCCUGCUGAUUGCAUACAGAAUGCAGGUUUCCAGCCAGAGGUGCUCCGAUGCACACCUUAGACAGAUGCCCUAAGUAAACAGCAGAGAUCGCCGCCUGUGAAACGAUACGACAGAGAUUUGCCUAACCAGACACAUUCCUGAAUAAUUCCAUCAAGUCACCAGGAGCUUUUCUAUCAUCUAUGGCAAUUUUCCACCAUCGAUGCAUUUGCCUUUUAACAUUUGAAUAAACUGUCAAAGCACAGCCUGCCUCUGCUAGCCAACCCUGCACGCAUGUGAAAUGAAAGAGGGAAAGGCGGGCUUUUACUGAUUCAGACAGAAUUAACUGUUCAAAUACCAGAAGUGAGCUGGGCAGCAUCGCAUGGAGCUUCACACAACCCACAUCCACCACAGAUCUCUGCAGUCAGGUGCCUGACCUGGUGCCCAGCAGAGCAGCACGCAUGGCUUUGUGCAGUGCACACAGUGCCAUACAGGUCAGUCCCUGCUGCUGAUCCUCCUCCACGUGGUACCCACACAGCCAGCUUGCACCUGGUUGCACCGACACUCUGCUUGCCCUGUAGCACUUCACUACCUAUUUAUGUCUCUGACUUUCAUUUUCUAUCUAUCUCAAACAAAUGAUUUUUCAUUUCAUUUUUUUUCCCUUGUAAAACGCAGCUCUUAGAAAGCAGGAAGAAGGAGUUUGUUUCUUCUGAAAGUCAGUCAGCUUCAAGGGGUCUUCAGAAGCCAAAGGGUUAGUAGUCCUUUUUUUUUUCACUUUGAGUUUGAUAGUGAAUAAUUGUAAGAGGGAAAAAAAUCACCUCAGGUUGUAUGUUGCCACUUCCUCUUGCAUUGCACUUAAUGAAAACCUUUGAUUAGCCUGCUGAAGAGACCCCACAUUCAAUAAUUUGAAGCAAAAGGUUAAUGGUGUUAUUACAACUAUUAUCCCUUUUAAAAUCAUUAUCCUCUUGUUUUUUAUGUCUAUAUUACCUUCACCUUUCCAUGAACCCACUUUACCAGCUGUUUCCCUCUGUCAUAAAGUUUGCUGAACAUCAUCCUAGGAAUAGGACAAAUGCCAUGUUUUAUCAGUCAAGCCUGAGGGAAUUCUCAGCUUCUCAUAACCCAAACUGUAAAAGGAGAUUAUUACAAAGUUUCUAUUUUGAUUUUUGAAUUGGCCGUGAGUGCAGUUAAUACACAGUUAAUACCAAAAUGCUGCAAUUAAGACACCAUUUUAAUUGGGAAGUUUUACAGAUUAGCAAAGUAUGAAAACAGACUAAUCAACUGUAAUUGUUUUCAGAAUGGUCAUUUGUCAGAAGGACAAACAGUCCUGAGCAAAAACGCAUGGAGUGCCCCAAAUAAAAAUGAUGUGCUAACCUGAGGUGGUGAGGCACCUUUUCCUAAGAACAUCUUCCUAACUGAGAUGCUUAAAUUGCACUGAGUUGGAGUGAGAUUGAUCUGUGCACGCACAGCAGUGCCUGAGAGAGAUGUGGAAAUGCGCCUUUCUCUCCAGAGAUGCUGACUCAGUUUGCUAACUUCAGCCACCUAAAUGCAGCUGCCCCAUCAACGCUGGAGCCAAGUCUUUGCUCUUUAGGAGAGGUAACUUCCUCAUGUAGUGGUUUUUUAAAAACUAUUGGCAUCCUCUGUAAUCCACAUUAUUUCAGCUUCUAUGGACACCAGUAGUCUGCAUCUACCUUGCUAACAUACUGAGUCCAGGGUCUAAUGAUGGGUCUAGAAGAACUUGUCUACACAGAUUUCCAGUUAAUAAAAAAAGUGUAAAGGGAAUUAAAGGCCUUAAAAUAAUCCAAUUUUCUAAGUGUUCAGCCUUCAUUAUGCAAAAUAAAAAUAUCACACACUUCCCAGAGUUCGAAAAGAGUCCGUUGAACAUAAUACCUCGACAUGGAAAUACAUUUGCUGCAGAAUGGCAGUAGUGCAGCAUUUACUGAGCUCUUAGUAAAAUAAAUGAAGUGCUCUGUGAUUGCUUCCUUUGAACAUGGAAAAAUGCAGGUAGCGCAUACUAAUGUUUUCCAACAAUAGUGCCUAUCAGGGAGAAGCUUUGAUCUGGGCAGAUACUAAAGCAGAACAAAGUGUAGGCUUUGCCCAUGCCAUUUUUAUAACCAUGGAUGUAGAGAAGUUAAUGCCUGUGGAACUUACGGACCGUAGCUGGCAGCAGAAGUGAGAGGUUUUCUCUUUUUUAAACCCCAAACAUUUUGCUGCCAACCUCUGAAUGGUAAUCCAAGAAGAAAAAAUGGAACAUUUUGCUGGGUGAAAGAUGUAAUAAGAAGCAAAUUCCCACUAUAAAAUUCCUAUGAUUGACGUGCUCUUGUCAUUAUCAUUGAAAAAAAUCUCGCAGUGUGUUACAAUGACAAGAAGGUGUGUAAUGUUAUUCUGAUACAAGAAAAGACAGUGUACAUCCAUUGAUCCAAAGAAUUCUAAUUCACCCCAUAAAGUGAGAUAAGAAUCAGUACAGCAGGCAGUUAAAAGUCCAUCUCGCCCUGUAUCCUGACUCUGACAAUGUCUCCUACUUCAUAUUUCAGAAGAAAAUGUCAAAAUAGGAGCCCCAUUGUGUGCGCUUCUAAAAAUGAACAGUAUUAAUAGUAAGCAUGUUCUUAUCUCCCAUGCUUUUCACAGCUAGCCAACCAUUAUUGGCUUUCACAGUAGUUACCGUAGCAAGUGAUUUUUACACAUGUUCUCUUUUAUACGGAUGCAUAUAUGCAUAGCUGCAUAUAUCUGUGCCCGCAGCACACAGACAAUAAAUACACGUGCAACAACUGACAUAAUAAGCCCUAAUACUUAAGAAUUCAUACGCUGUAUUUUAAAAGCAAAUGCAUGCUUAACCAGUUCUUGUCAGCUCCAGCCUUUUCAUUUCCAUUCUAACCACAGCUUGCACUGGUUACUGAGAAAUUUCUCCAGUAAAUUGUAUAAAUAUUUUUAAAUGCUGUAGGCCUACUAAUGGUUUAAAAAAAUAAAGAAACAGCUGGUAAAGUUGUAAAACUGAAGGUGAGGUUUGGGGAAAUGGGCCCAGAUUCAAAUAUUUCAACUUACCAAUGGAAAGGUUUAUGAGAGAAGCUAGAAAAAAAUGACAGUAGCUAAAAAAUAGCUGGAAGAAUUCGUAGUUGUGCGAGUAGUUCCACCCCAUACAAAGUAGGAACACAAUGAUCGACUACUUAGAAAAUAGCAUUAGUACUUUCUAUGUGGAAUCAAGCCGUGAUUUCCUCGCAGCAGAAUGAAUAAAGUCAGAGGUCAGAAGAAAGAAUAAUGGUGUUGCCAUCUCCCGAUACCUUUAAGACAGCAUUCUUGAUGAUCCUUGGGGUCCCUUCCAACCCAAGCCAUUCUGUGAUCCUGCUAGGCUACAUCUCCGAUCCUGUGUUUGUGACAGCGUUUGCCUGCAUGCACAGGAACGGGGAGGGCGAUGUGACUCACAUCAUUGUGGUCUCCCCAGGGCCUAUGAAAUGAAUCGAGAGAUUCAGACUCCCUUCUGUAAUGGGACACGCUCACAUAAAAGGUGCAGCUCUGCCCUAAGACAAUAAUUAGAUUUAAUGCCUCGCAGCAUCAGCAGGUUACUGGUAAACGUAAGAGGAUUUUUUCCCCUGGGUUUGUCAGUCACCUUCCACCAGUGGGGUGUUCUGCCUUCCCUCAACGCACAGGGGGCAGGAACUCAAUGUCCUUUCUUGUGACACCAAGAAUAUGCUUACAGGUCCAAGGUUAUAUUGGUCACUAGGGUUUAGGGAAAGAAGGUGCGGUGUUUUGGAGUAAGCUUGUUUUUCCACCUUCUGCUGGUCAGGGUUGAUUCCUAAACAGGGCCAUGUGGGGAAAUCCCACCUCUAGACACCUUGCCAGUGAUGGUGCUAUCUUCCUUCAUUCCCCAUCACUCUAAUUACACGAUGACUGAAAUACUAAUUUAGUCUUUAAGCUUGAUCCAAAACAUUCAAGGAAAACAUAGUAGUUUGUGAUACUGGGUUAACUGCGUGGGCUUAACAUCCAACCCUUCCAUGGUGCUACAGGGAAAGAGAUUCCACAUCAUGGAACAACUUCAGCUACCACAGGCUUAGAAGGCAGAGUAUCUGAAUACAUUUCCACAACUUCCCUAACAUCAUUCUUUCUCUUACAACAUCCAACAAUCUGACAUUGAGCUUAAACACAUCAAUUUAAGGACAUAAACUGUGUCUAUAUUGAAAACCACACUGAAAAAGCAGAAAAAUCCAAGUAAUGCUGUUCUAUGUUAAAGCAUACAUUUCCACUAGCAGAGCUCCACCAUGAUCCCAAACUGCUUCCUGUCCUGCCCGUCACUCAGUGGUAUCCCAGGCUGCUGACUCCCACUGCCAUCCAUUGUAGCUCUUACCCUAUGUUCCUGCUUGGCAUAAAGUGUUCUGUUAUCUUCACGUUCUGCUGAAGCAGUCUCUUUCCUAAGCCUGGGCAACAACAGCAGCAAUCAGAAAUGGCAUUGCAAAAAAAAAAAAAAAAAAAAAAAAAAAAAACCAACUGCUUCACAUGGAACUUAUCUACAUCUGACAAUUGCUGUACUGCUGGGCUGUGCUGAGAGCCACACAUAGCCCCGAGGGAGACUUCUUCAAGCAGAUUCUGCCCAGCAAAUAGUGCACUAGGAACCGUCUUUAAUAAAAAGAUGCUGGAUCUGCCAUCUGUGUUUUUGCAGUGAUAUGAACCCACGACAGCGCUUGGUGUGAAUGGGUACGGUUGAAGCGUCACCACAACACACACAUUCCUGUUUGCAAGAAUGCUCUAACAAAAGAUGAGUUCAGAUCCAGACUUGCACUUCCUUUCAGCAUGAGGUUUUCUGGUAAUCAUAGUGAGGAGCUACAUCCAAGCACUCAGUGCAGGAGCCUUGACAGUUUGGUUCUCGGCCACCAAUGGAGUGCAACACACACUACCCUUGGCAGUCCUACUGUCACUUGUGAUUUUCCAUUUCCAGACACAGUCUUGUGUUAAGAUUGGUCUUUUGCCCUUCAGGAGGAUUGUGCUUUGUUUGAAAGGCUGCAUGAAGAAACACCUGUCAAGAUAAAAUCUGCGCCUUGAUAGAGUCCUGGGCCAGUACAACAGUAGCUGCUUUUCUAAAUGGACCACGUACAGUAUGGCUCUUAAAAAUACGCUCAAUGGUAUUCAUACCUUGGCAGUGGUGACAUAUCAAACUGUGUUUGCAGCAGCAUUCGGAAAAGAAUCUCCGGCUCUUUGCAGUCUCCUAUGUGUAAAUGUCACUUAAUUGUCUAAGAAAAAUUUGGCUGACCUUUCAAUUACUAGUAAUGGAAUAAAAGCAGUAGAAGACUGUAUGUGACAGCAAGUGUCAGCAAUACCCAGUUGUCGCCUUCCUGUGCUGACUGGGAGCACUACAGAGAAUUCACACUCCAUCGCAGGACCGCAUUUUUGGCAGAACACUGAUAAAGGAACUCACUGGUAAAAGGAUAGGAACUAGAAAAGAAGGGAGUUGUCCCUCAUCCUUCCCUAUCCUGACUCCACAAACAAAUCCAGAAAGAGGAUUUUUGAAUAUCUGUAAAAAGGCCCUACAUUCUGAGAGCUUUUGUGGAACUUAAUACCUUCUUUCAGCAGGAAACACUGCAAAGUUGAGACUAUUUUGCAGAUAAAGGUCUGACUGAGUACACGGACAAACCUCCCCAGCCAUGCAGAAUUAAUGCCACUAUGAAAUUUACGUGGUACUUUUGAGUUCUGGGCCAGUAUAUGUAGUUUAUACAACUGUUUACACAGCUGUUGCUGACUGCAUGUGUGAGACAUUCAAUCAAGUAGUGUGUAUCUCAUGGCUCUUCCACUGAAAUACACAGCAGCGUAGUCACUGUUUUGUCUACCAUGUUUGGUACUGGAUAAGGAAGACACUUGAGGGAUGUUACAGUACAGCAAUCUCACAUCCAGUUUGUAAAUUAGCUGUUGGCAGCAGUGUUUAUAAACCCUUCUCAAACUCCUCCUUUAAGUCCAGUCUUAAAACUGUCAGGCUGUUGAUUAAGAUCAGGAGAGUUGAACUGAUAACCUCCCAGUACUGAUGCAUGACUGAAGAGCCUUGUCUCAGCUUCUAUCUAGCAAGUUUUUCACUUCCUUCCCAGUCACUGCUUUGACCCCCCCAGAAUAGAGAUAAUCUUGGCAGAGGUCACUUGUUAUGACCACUUCUCAUCUGGAACGUUGUACAUGGGUUUGUGUCUUCUGUGUGGAGACUCACAAUCUCUGUGAUACUUUCAUUCCUCUUCUGGCAAGUUUGAGCUCUGAGAACCUAUUUUCCUUACAUUUAUCGUACUUUCAAAAUCAGUUGCAGGAAAUUGCUUAUGUUGUAUGCAAGCAAAUCUAACAAAUAAUCAGUGUAUAAACCUACCCGAACACAUUCUGUUAGCUUGCUACAGAACUGACCUGAUGCUCGCUAAUGUGAAGACCUGGAUGUAAGGAAGAGGUUUAGGUGGAACUGGACGCUCAAGCAGCAUUAGUUUAAAUAAAAAUAUACCAUAUAAUAAAUAAACCAUUAAUAAAAAUAAAAAAAUAACAAAGAUUUCAUAAACCACACAUCCCAAACAUGAUACAACGCUUGUAGUUUCUGUAAAAACUAAUUCAGAAAGCAUAAAGGUACACGAAUAUCUAACAUUUGUCUCAAUGCAGCCAUCACGGUGUAAGUUCCUUUAGUUACGCCUGCAGUGUGAGCUGGGGAACUCGUGGCCACGCUUCCAGAUACAGCCAGUGAAUUCACUCCACCUGUAGCGUCAUUCCUUUUCCCCACGCGGUUACUGAGUAAUGCCAACUUGUAGCAAUGAAAGGUGCUCUAAAGGCCUACAUGGCCUUCAGCAAUGACGUCACCACAGAAGUACCUAAAUAGAAGCCUGUGGUUCGUAGGACAGGAUAUCAGAGGUGCGCCACGGAUGGCGAGGAACGCUGAUGCUGCCGUGUCAGUUACUUAAAAGCCGAGGCUGUGACUGUGGAAGCCCUUUUUUGAUAAUCCCAGUCAUUACCUGAG